GAACCGGUGCUGAGCAGUGGCCGUUCGCCCCGCCCCACGUUUUGUGACUGAGUUUCAGGCUUCCGUCGUCGCAAAUUACCCGCUCCAGGUUCAGGUCUGACGCCGUGCACUGACUCAGACUUCGGUGAAGUGCCGAGCCACAGGAGGGAUGCAAAUGGCAAUCCAAAAUUAAAAAUGUUGAGACUGCCAGGAUAUGUGGAUAUCUAGAUCAGCGCUGCCAAGCUCGUUCUAAAACAAUCUUAUGCAGGACAAAAAUAGUUGUCAGCUUGAAAUUUCUCUUGCCUGAGAUUUUUGUUUAUAUCCACAUAUGAUGGAAGAGAGAAGAGCAGGAGUGAUUUCCUGACUUACCGUUAGAAGACAGUAAUAAUAAAUUUGAUGGAAAUUUACAAUUCACGUUAUGGAUGCCAAGAUGAUAUCCCUAAGCAAAAUCAUGGAAGGCCAAGUAUGUCUCACAGAUUAUAGAUAAUGAUGUUUGCUAAAUUGGAUUGUUUUCUUUGACCUUUUCACUAUCUCUCUUUCCCUUUUCAGGAGACCCCAUAGGCACAGAGGUAUAAAGACAUGUUUUAGUACUCUCCUAGUAUUUUGGCCCUCUCCUGCUUAGAGAGUGGGAUGGGAGGAGGAUCAGUAUAAAUUCACAUUCUAGUGACGAUGUCUUAUCUUUCCUAGUGUGUUCACAUUUAAAAGGAUCAAAAGAAAAGGGCAAGGCUUAACAGAAGGAAUUAUUCUCUCCUGGUGUAAUUUUGGGACUGACCUCUAGGUUGAAGGAGGCAAGAACUUGGUGUCUCUCAGAUUUACACACACUGUUUAAUCCACUUACUUACAAGCAUAGGCAUGCACGACAAAGUAAGUUUAUUUCAGUAAGAAAAUACAUAUCUAGAUUUUAGUCCCCUCCAUAUUUUUAAAUAAAAUAGAAGUCUAUUAAUGAUAGUUGAUAAUAAUUAUAUAGACCUCUCCCUUUUCUUCCUUUUCUUGGUGAAUAAGAUAUAGACACAGAUAUUCCAUGUAUUUAGAAGCUUUCAACAGCCAUCUGAAAAUCCUCAAAGAAAAAUAAUUUAAAACUGAAGCUUCUCUAUCUGCUUUCACACAACAACAGAUACAGUCUGUCAUUAUAAAAUCUGAGUCUUGAAAUAUCCAGUUUGGUAGUCUUCACUGAUUAUAUUAGUAACAUAGAUAUUGAGUUUUUCUAUACAGUGGAUGCAGAUUCUGGUUUUUCUAGGCUUGGGGGACUAUAUAAAGGUGAACUCUACAUGACACCAAAAUUGAUAGUGUCAUGUUUUAAAAAAUCAAUAAAAUUGAGGGUUCUAUUUAGCCAAAAUAUAUGAUUGGAAUUUUCCUAUUUUAUGUGAGCACUUUGACUUUGUCUAGCCAUAGCCUUAAACUUUUGCUCCGUAAAUUAACAAUUAUCUGAUAGUCUAUUCCUCAAUGGCCCAAAGUCAGACAACGGAAGCACUAAAUUGAAAGCACUAAUUGAAACUAAAUUGAAAGCAUAGAAAUUAAAGUAAAGCCUUUGUUUUUAUUCAAUAGUUGGAUUUUAUUAUCUGUCUUGUAUUGUGCAUCUUUCUUUAUCCUCCUCCAUUAUUUCCUCCUAAUAAGAGUUCAUGUGCAAUGAGCUUGGUUCCUUUUUCUCUUCAGAACUUAGAAGCUAAGACUAUAAUAAUUGAAAUACCUUAACUAAAUAAAUUAUGUUUCAAAAUCUAUGGCCAGAGUGUACUUCUGAAGGCAAAACUAGAAAAUAUUCACGGUUUGUCAAAAUUUUAAUAUCAAAUGAGAGUUGUAAAACAUAUAUAUGCAUACUGUAUAUAUAUAGUAUAUAUAUAUUUAUCUGUUCUAUCCGACAAAUAUUACAGAAAAUUACUAAGUUUAAAAGAACCUGCUAGAAUGCAGUUUCAUGGCAAAAUUUUUACUCUUUUCUGAAGUAGCAAGCUGUGACUAAAAGAAUCUAAGUUUUCCAUCAUUGCUCACUCGCAGACAGUAGAAUUAGAUGAUGAGGUCUAUCAUCUGUGGUCCUUGACCCGGCUCUCUCCGUGUCUCUUGUGAGAAAAAUGUUUCCUCAUGUACUCUAACCAACAGUCAUGACCAAGGCCUUAGUUUCCACAAAUGCCAGGAAACCAUCAAGUGCUGCCUGUAAGAGGUAUAUGACCAGUUGCAAUCAACAGUCUGUUUCCCUUUCACAGCUACUGAAAAGCCGAGACCCAUUUUAAAUUUCCAAAUUACAUGCCAUCCUACUAAACAUGACAUAUUUCAUAAAUUAUUCAUUGAUCAAUGGUAGCAAAAUCUCGUAAAGUAGUAUUAGACACCAGACAUCACAAAGCAGAACAUUACCACAAUUGGAACAUUUAAGUUAUGCUUUCCUCUGUGAGAAAAACCCAUGGAAGGCAAAACUAAAAAAAAACCCACACUAACCCCAAAGUAAAAUAUCAAGCUGAGUGAGGUAGGCAUCUUGUAUUGGCUGAAUGAAUGAAUGAGUAAGUGAAUGAUAGCAAGCCAUAUAAAAAACACAAACUAAAUUGUGAAAGGCUAUUGUAAACUGGAAUGAAUUAGGAAAGUGUUAGUUAAAUUAAGGAAGUUUUAUCCAGGGACUGUUUAAGAAACAUCCCUGUACUUUUGUAGAUACCUUUCAAUGUAGAUUUAAAAAAAAUUCUACCUUGGAAAUAACAGAUAGUAGUCAAUGUCUUUAGCUGGAUGUAUUCUUUGUUAUCUGUUCUCAUGUUCCCUCCUGUGCUUUUCUACAGCUUCCCCUCCUGCAAGGCCUAAACUGCAAAAAUCUUUGUCUCUUGUGGUUUCUUCCAAGAGACGAAGGUGACUAUCUUGGGAAUGAGUAUGGUGUGCAGAGAUCUCUAGGGUAACCCACUCCAGACACAUUCGUUUACCCCUCUAACCUGCUCUUUGUUGCAUGCUAACUUUGGGUCUUCCCUUGGGAACACACAAGUUAUCCUCUGUUGGUGCUGAUUUCCUGGAUAAACUACGAGAACACAAUAGAAAAAAGUUUUCAUGUGAGAGAAAGGAAGAAAUAUUACUGUAAGUGGGGAAUAAGUUCUGAUGUCUGAUGGAGCAGAGUUGAGUGGAACAAAAUGAGAAGGACAAAUGGAAUACCGAAAUAGACUAACUCUCGCCCUUCUGAAAUCUCGGAAAACUCCCUCUUCUCUCCAGCAGACCUUGCCCGUUAACACCAAAGAUGGGGGCUUAUUUGAUAAGAUCCAAAUGAACCUUAAAACGUGGGAAGAGUUUCUCUAAGGAGCGUGCGGGAGGCCCUGGGACUGGCUGGGGCGUAAGCAGAGGGCCCUCUCUCGGGUUCGGUGCUGCAGGUCCGUUCACCACGUGCAACACCGUCAUCUGGGGCUGCACAACCCGAAAGACUAGACCGGGCAACGCGCGGCGUGGAGCCGCUCCCCUUCCUGCGCGACCCGACCGGUCUUCCGUACCCCGCCUCCUGAACCCCGCGGACGAGGCUUGCCCGCCGGUCACGCCACCAGCCUGCGCACUCUAACCCCGCUCCCGAGGCGGCUGCCAGGUUGCCAGCCCCGCUGUGGCGCCCGCGCUCCUCCGCAGCUUGGGGAAGAAGUAGCCCAAUGGCCAUGGGGUAGUUGGCUUGAGACGCAGCGAGUUAGGUACACCUAGGAGCUAGCAGGCUGACACACGUGAGCCGGGUGACCCUACGCAGCGCUAUCUCCAGGCCAGGCUUCCGCUCUCCCUGGGUAUCUCGGAGGCCCCGACUCUGCUUCUACCUGGCGGACUAACUCCCCCCGGAAGAGCGAUCUGCUCUGAGGAGGAAAAGCCCCGCAGAGAUCGCCCAAGUCCUGCUUACAACCUCAAAUCAUCUCUCCCCUCAGCUGCCUAAGGGCACUCCGAGGAAUCAAAGGAGCGGCAGUGACGGCGGUCUGGAAACGUAGAUAGGGUGGAAGGGAAGAGGAGAUGAGAAAGGAGGGGGAGAGAGAGCUAAUGAGAAAACUCAGACAGAAAAUUUAAAACUUGGCUUUAAAAAAUCCUGCAAAAUUUGCACCUGUACCCAACUGAACCUCCUCUGAGUUUCCUGUAAAAUAAAGAACUUUCUUCUAAUUGUCCUUGGGGACAAAAGGCUGGCCAGUCUUCCUAACAAGGUGUUAUCAUGGUCUCAAGACACUAAACGUUGCUAAAUCAAACUCUGGAGAUAAUAAUUCGAAUGUCCAUCACGUCUGCCUCUCUAAACGUGUCCAGUUUUCCAGAUCACUGUCUUCCUCCCAGCAGGGGUUGUCUGUAUAUAUGUAUAUACACAUACAAACAUAUAUAUAGUGCAAAUAUGUAUAUAUACUAGACAUAUACAUAUACGUAUAUACAUACAUAAAUUACAUAUGACAUUAAUUUGGGGUUUAUGGUGGCAGUUGGGGGGAGCGUGUGAGAUCUGAUUCUUCUGAAAAAAUAACUGUUCAGUUAUGGGCAGGGAAUAGGGACGCACUUUGAUGCCUAAUGAGAAAUGCUAGCCUAGUAAACAGAAGCAGAAGGUAAACAGAAACUAAAUGAGGAGAAAGAAGGAGAUUUUUGUUUUUUCUCCAGGUACAGACUGGAGGCUCCUCUUUGGGACCAGGACAAACUGGAAACAAGAUGCCUGUCCAUGCACCAGCCUCCGGAUAGCCUACCCCCCCAGGAAUCGCCAUUCCUCAUACCCAGGAGAGGGGUGCGUGUGUGCGCGCCGUGUAGACCGCAUCUCCACCCAACCCGCCGGGCUGUUUCGAGGGACAGUAGGGUCCCGGGGGCCGGGGCUCCGGACGGUGCGCCUGUGGCCCAGGAAAUAGCCGGCUGUCCCUCCCGGGUCUCCCACCGCCCGCUUAGGACGGGUUUUGGAGGAGAGCGAGCA